rnacentral:lncRNA from 1 species
CAAAAGUAGAGGCUUCACCACCGGAAAAUCUGAAAGUCUUGUACGUUUCCCCCAAACGAAGAUGAUGAUGCUCAACUCCGAUGAAGAUGGUAAUAAUUUCUCUUGUUUUUCUCCCCUUUCUUAUCAUUUAGAAUUUCCUUAUUUCCCUUCUGUAUUAUUGAGCAAAGCUUCUCAUUUGCUUCCAAAGUUGGGCAUGAGAUGUUGAAAAGUAAUAUAUGGCAUGAAAGAAUAAAAAAUAAAGAGAUUGGUAUGUUAUUCUUUAUUUCAAGCCACAGAUUUAGGAUAAAUACUUUUAUGUUUAGAUGUUUUCAAGUCUAAUUCUACAUCUAACGUGAAAUAUCAAGACUACUAAAUGGCUUAGAUGCUUGGGUGUACUUAAAAAAAGAAAGGAUUCCACCUUACAGUUGAAACAAUUUUUCUUAGGCCAUUAUAUGUGGAACUCACCGAUUUAUAUGCAGAAUCAAUGCGACAUUUUACCAAAGUGCUCUUUAUAGUUCAAGCUUUUAAUAUAAAUGUCCAAGAUUAAUUGGUAAGGUUUCAGAAAUUUUAUGUUAAUACUGAAUUUGUGUAAGGUUUUCAACAUCCAUAUUAGUUUGAUCUAGUCAAGGCUAACUAGAGACCAGUUAGAGCUACAGAUGGAUGACAUGUUUUCUUUGGCUUAUUUGUUAUUCUGUAAUUUGUUCAAACUCACAUUUUAUUUUGACGUACUUAUUACAUUUUAAUUUGUUUGCUGGACAUGGCAUUUGAUUGUGUUGCAGCAGAAGGUUUUGUGGAAGACACGCGAUGAAUUUUUGUGGAUAGAGAUGUCGAUGAGAAAUUUGCGAGUAAUAUGAUAUCAGCAGAAAAGGAAACGCUAGAAGAAGAUGAUGCGAUGGUGCCUAAGAUGUCAGAGGUGGGUAUGAUGUUCAACGAUGAAAAAGAAUUGUGAAAUUUCUACAAAAGGUAUGCAUAUCAUAUCGAUUUUUCAGUUAGAAGAAGGAACUCGAAAAAGGGAGAUGACGGAAAAAUGAAAUAUGUAACUUUAACAUGUGGCCGUGAAGGUCGAAGGUCUACCAGCACCAGUGGUUCUUCAAAGCCCCAACCAACUACUCAGACAGAUUGUAAAGCUAGUCACUGCAUCUGCAGAUAUUUAUGGAAUCUGGAGAAUAAAAACAGUCUACCUCGCUACAACCAUAAACAAGUCCUUCGAAGUCGAGGUUGUAUGAUUGCAAUCGAGAAUUACGUUCACAUGUGAAACGGAAGCUUGAAGUGAAUGAUAUGACUGGAAUUCCUUUGCACAAGAGUUUUAAUUCUACAAUGGUUGAAGCAGGUGAAUAUGAGUAUCUGACUUAUGUGGAAAAGGAUUGUCAAAAUUAUAUUGAACAAGUGCGACAACUAAGACUUGGUGAAGGAGAUGUCGUAGCAAUACAGUCGUGCUUUUCUAGGAUGCAAGCUUAGUGCUCCGAAUUCUACUUUAGUAUGGACUUAAAGGAUGAUUCCAGACUGAAAAAUGUAUUUUGGACAGAUAAUAGGUUAGGCAAGCUUACAAGGAAUUCGACGAUAUUGUAACAUUUGAUACCACUUAUCUAAUCAACAAGUAUGACAUGCAUUUCGCCCCUUUUGUUGGUGUUAAUCAUCAUGGACAGUCAACAUUGAUCGGUUGUGGUUUGUUGCCCACUGAGGAAACAAAUACUUUUGUGUGGCUAUUUAGGACAUAGCUUCAGUGUAUACACGGAAAAGCUCCCCAUGAAAUCAUUACUGAUCGAGAUAGGGCUAUGCAAAAUACAGUUCAAAUUGUUUUUCUAAUACGAAGUAUAGAUGGUGUUUGUGGCAUAUUCUGAAGAAGUUGCCCGAAAAGUUUGAAUACCACGUCGAUAAGGCUUCCAUUUUUUUUACUGUACAUGCAUUGGUGUAUGAUUCACAGUUCAUGGAAGAAUUUGAAAAAGGUUGUGGGGCGAUGAUUGACACAUACGGGUUGCACAAUAAUGAGUGGUUGUCGGGACUAUUUGAUAAUAGAGGUCGUUGGGCUCCUUGCUACCUGAAAACUACAUUUUGGACAGAGAUGUCGACAACUCAGCAAAGUGAGAGUAUGAAUGCAUUCUUCGAUGGGUAUAUUCAUUCGAAGACCUCGUUGAAGCAAUUUGUCGAACAGUAUGAAUGGGCACUGAAGAAUAAGGUAGAGAAGGAGUUUCAGGCCGACUUCAAGUCAUACUCCCAAAUGGUACCAUGCACGACAAUGUUUGAAAUGGAGAAUCAAUAUCAAAACUAUUACACCAUUUCGAAGUUCAAGAAAGUUCAAGUUGAGCUUACAGAGAAGGCUUAUUGUGACCUCAUUUCCACUACGGAGGGCACUUCAUGCAUGAUCUAUAAAAUACGGGAGGUUAUAAUGGUUAAUGACAGACGGAAGAUGAGAAUUUCUUUUGUCUCAUUUCAACAAGAUAAUUGCAAAAUUAUUUGUAGUUGUCAUUUGUUUAAGUUUCGAGAAAUUCUGUGCUGUCAUGUUAUCGUAGUCCUAUUCCGUAAUGAUAUCAUGUCUCUGCCAGAUAGGUUUAUACUACGAAGAUGGAGGAGAGACGUUUGUAGAGCACACACCAGGGUUGCAGUGAACUAUGCCAGUUGGUACGUAUGCCUGAACAGUUGAGAUACGACAAUAUGUGUCAGGCUUUUAUCGAGGUUACAAACCUUGCGACUGAUGAUAAGGGGCGCUGCUAUGCGAUCAAGGAGUGGAUAACUUAUCAAAAGCAAGAGUUGAUAACAAUAAAGUCAGGCUCUGGAAGUAAUCGGGCUUCACAUUAAGCUAUUUAGUUAUCCUCACGGUGUAAUGAAUUUAAAAACAAUGCCAUACAAGAUCCUAUAUUAGCGAGAAGAAAGGGCAUGCCUAAGAAACUUCGGAGAAAAGGCCCCUUGGAGACAUCUUCAAAGAAGGCAAAGGUAUCAUUAUCACGAUUUUUGUCGACUUAAAUAGUAUUUCAUUAUAAUUAGUUUAUAACAUGAACCAUAUCUGCAGGCUACGUCAACUUCGGCCAGAGGAAAGAGACCAACGUCCAAGCACAGUGAUACGCCAUCUACACCCGUCAUCCAAGCAUCUCAACAGUAUUCUAUGCAAACACCGUUUUCGUAUUCACAACUAUUGUUGGUUAGUAUACUUAGUUUAUUAUAAUGAUUUGUUCGAAACUUUAAUUGCAUUUUUAUACGAUGUAGGUGAUGCAAAAAGCCCUACCUUCCCGCAACACUGGCUAGCCUCAAGUUUCGUUCCCCUCAACAUCAACAAAUGUCAUAUUCAAUGAUCUAGGUUUGCACACGUUUAAAUCUCUACAUUUGCAUUAGUGCACAUUUUAUGCAUGUACUUACGACAGGUCGUUCGGUUCCAUACAACUAUCCACAUUUCCCACAAGAAGGUGGUCCAGGCAUAUGAACUACUGAUGAAGAAUUUUUGGACUUUUGUUAUUUGUCCUUUGUUGUCUAUCAUUUUAGGAUUUUUGGGACAUGUUUUUUACUUCACGAAGUAAAAAAAAUUGCCUAAAAGUGAAAUGUUUCUAUUUUAGUUUGUAGGGAUAAUUCUGUAAAUUGUCUUAGUCCAUUUCCACUAGGAAGGAAGGGUGCAUUCUUGACCUCAUUAGUUAUUCAUUUCUCGACUACGACUGUACUAUGAUUGAUACUCAAG